rnacentral:rRNA from 1 species
UUAUUGAAUAUAAACUUGGGUAGACUGUUGCUGGCUCCUCUUGGGGCAUGUGCAUGUUUAUCCUCUUUAUUUUUCCACCUGUGCACCUUUUGUAGGCUUGGAUUUAUAAAACACUGUUUUUGACUAUGUCCCUAGGGGCAUAAGAAUCGUUUUGGGACUGCUGUGUUUAAACACAUGUUUAUCAGCUUUUCCUUUUGUUUUUCCAAGUCUAUGUUUUUUCAUACACACGUCAGAGAUGUUAUAGGAUGCUGUACUUUAGGUCAUUUUGUAACCUAUAAUAAAUCAGUACAACUUUCAGCAACGGAUCUCUUGGCUCUCGCAUCGAUGAAGAACGCAGCGAAAUGCGAUAAGUAAUGUGAAUUGCAGAAUUCAGUGAAUCAUCGAAUCUUUGAACGCAUCUUGCGCUCCUUGGUAUUCCGAGGAGCAUGCCUGUUUGAGUAUCAUUUAAAUUAUCAACUGUGCCAAUUCUGGUCACAGAUUGGAUGUGGGGGGAUUUCUGCAGGCUUUGAAAAAAAGGCCCGCUCUCCUGAAAUGUAUUAGCAGUGCCUUUGUUGGUGCCUUGGGUGUGAUAAACCAUCUAUGCCCUUAUAUAUGGUACCUUCAUUUUUUGAGGCCAUACUGCUUCUAAAUUGUCUUUAUGGACAAUGUCUCAUGACAAACUUGAUCUCAAAUCAGGCAGGACUACCCGCUGA